UAACGCGUGGGUAACCUGCCUUGUACUGGGGGAUAGCAGCUGGAAACGGCUGGUAAUACCGCAUAAGCGCACAAUGUUGCAUGACAUGGUGUGAAAAACUCCGGUGGUAUAAGAUGGACCCGCGUCUGAUUAGCUAGUUGGUGAGAUAACAGCCCACCAAGGCGACGAUCAGUAGCCGACCUGAGAGGGUGACCGGCCACAUUGGGACUGAGACACGGCCCAGACUCCUACGGGAGGCAGCAGUGGGGAAUAUUGCACAAUGGAGGAAACUCUGAUGCAGCGACGCCGCGUGAGUGAAGAAGUAAUUCGUUAUGUAANNCUNUAUCAGCAGGGAAGAUAGUGACGGUACCUGACUAAGAAGCUCCGGCUAAAUACGUGCCAGCAGCCGCGGUAAUACGUAUGGAGCAAGCGUUAUCCGGAUUUACUGGGUGUAAAGGGAGUGUAGGUGGCCAUGCAAGUCAGAAGUGAAAAUCCGGGGCUCAACCCCGGAACUGCUUUUGAAACUGUAAGGNUAGAGUGCAGGAGGGGUAAGUGGAAUUCCUAGUGUAGCGGUGAAAUGCGUANAUAUUAGGAGGAACANCAGUNGCGAAGGCGGCUCACUGGACUGUAACUGANACUGAGGCUCGAAAGCGUGGGGAGCAAACAGGNUUAGAUNCCCUGGUAGUNCACGCUGUAAACGAUGAAUACUANGUGU
rnacentral:rRNA from 1 species